rnacentral:misc_RNA from 1 species
UUUAUUUUUUUAAUUUAUAAACUGAGCCCAAAAUAUAUUAUAAUUUUCAGAGCUUAUAAUCGUACAAGCAAACGCCCUCACAAACAAUCCUCAAUUGUGGAGGUUUCUAUAAAAAUUAUCUAAAUAAAUAGAGGAACAAAUAUAUCUCAAUCCUCGAUGACUACAUCGCAUGGAAAUAUUGAAUGGAUAUUAUGAUAAUCAUUCUCCAUUUCAGAUUUUUUUUUUCUUAAUAUAAACAUUAUAAUCAGACUAUUUCUUUUGGCAAUGGAUUCCAUUUUUGUGCAAUGAACUAAGCAUAGUCUUUUGGAACAUGCAGUAUAAUUUGAUUAUAGAUUAGAUUUUUAACAGGAGGACAAUCACAGCUUUAAAACAUCUAUUGAAACCCAACCAAGACAAACAACACAUACUAUUCAGAUGAAGAAAACACCCCCAAAUACAAGCCGGUUAGACCUUCAGCAAACGUUACCUCCCGAUCUUCCCCCUGAGCUUAACGCCAAGCACUUUCUCCAUCUUUGCCAAAACGGCCUGGUUAGGAACCGCCUUACCAUUCUCAUACUCCUGUGCCACCUUGGGCUGCUCGUUAAUCAACUUAGCAAGCUCCGAUUGGCUCAUCUUCUUCUCCAGCCGAGCCUUUUGGAUCGCCUGCCUUACCUCCACCGACACCUUUUCCAACGUCGCCGGCUCCGUUCCCUCGUCCAACUUCCUCGCGCUUACCACGGGGGCUGAUUUUUUGUUAGAGCCAGCGUCGAACUUCCUGAUGGCCUGGACCGGCACACCUGACCGUAAGGCUUGGUUCACCGCCUUAGGAUCGCGAAGGUCUUGGGCCUUUGUUUUUGACUUGCGCAGUACCACCGGCUCCCAGUCCUGGCUGAUCACUCCUGUCGAUCUGCUAGGCAUUUUCUUUGCUGCAGAAAUAAAAAAAAAAAAAAAAAA